CAAAUACUCCCUCCGUCCGGAAAUACUUGUCAUCAAAAUGGAUAAAAGGAAAUGUAUCUAGACGUAUUUUAGUUUUAGAUACAUCUCUUUUUAUCCAUUUUGAUGACAAGUAUUUUCAGACGGAGGGAGUAGACA
rnacentral:pre_miRNA from 1 species